rnacentral:rRNA from 1 species
UAUGUAGGUCCCGAGCGUUGUCCGGAUUUAUUGGGCGUAAAGCGAGCGCAGGUGGUUUAUUAAGUCUGGUGUAAAAGGCAAUGGCUCAACCAUUGUAUGCAUUGGAAACUGGUAGACUUGAGUGCAGGAGAGGAGAGUGGAAUUCCAUGUGUAGCGGUGAAAUGCGUAGAUAUAUGGAGGAACACCGGUGGCGAAAGCGGCUCUCUGGCCUGUAACUGACACUGAGGCUCGAAAGCGUGGGGAGCAAACAGG